rnacentral:tRNA from 1 species
ACCUUCAUAGCCCAAAUGGAAGAGGCAAUAGGCUUAGACCCUAUACAGUGUGAGUUCGAUUCUCACUGAAGGUA